AUGAAGUUGCAGUCUUUCAAUAAAAGUCUUGCGGAGGAGUUAUGGGUAGCCAAAGAUGUUGAUUGGUCUCACUGUGAUUCCAUGGGUGCGUCGGAAGGUAUUGUUACCCUUUGGAGGAGAAAUGUUAUAAGUCAUGUGUGCAUCUUUAAAGGAGAAGGAUAUGUUGGAAAAGUGAGAUGUACAAUUUCAUAA